CUCAGGAUUCUGAGAGGUCCAUUCUGGACCAGGAUGCCAGUUGAGAUGUUUCCAGCGUUUUCUUCUGUGUCUGUGGACAUACUGCCUGGAGGCUGGCACAGAUGUGCUCCUCAUGUAUGCAAGCAGCUUGGCAUUUCAAGCAGAUGAGGUAAUUUCUUCCUCAGGGGUGUAAUUUUAAGGUUCCACCCAGGAUCUCACUAUGCAACUGCAGUCAAUAAAAAAGGGUGUAACGUAUUCCACUAAUUGAAGAAUAAAACCAAGGAGUACAUUACCCCGCCCAGAUUGGAGAGACCGGGGCCUUGCCCUGGAGCCAGGCCUGGGGCCGGAGCUUGAAGCAAUUCCUGAACCCAGUGGUGGACACCAGCAGUAAAGGGAGCUGUCAGGCUGAGGAAGGAGGCCUUCUGAGCUUGGUUACCUUGCGGGACUCCGGAUCAGCUGACAGGUACCGGCAGGACAAAAGCAAAG